CACAACAACCAAGGGCUAGACAUAACCUUAAGUCUUUUUUGAGUUUCCCUUCUAUUAUUUUUUUAUGGUUCUACAUAAGGAUUGAACUAUGAUUUGUUUAUCUGCAGUGGUGUUUUGGAUUAGUUGGGUAAAUUUCUUUGCUCCUUUUCAGCUGGAGUUCUCUGGCAUUUCUUUCUCCUAUGGAUGAUAUGAAAAGCAGAAGGACCAAGGGCCUCGACAUAACCUAUUUUUCUGCUACGGACUAUGAUUUGUUUAUCUGCAGUGGUGUAACACGUUUCUAUACUUCUUCCUUUUAUUAAGAGCUUAGUUCGUUUUCUUGAUUUUUUUGCUGUAUAGGUAGUUCGUUUUCUUGAAUUUUUGGGCUAUACAGGGAAGGCACGGAAUGGAUGUGAAAUGAAGUAUUAUGUUUUGUUACCUUUAAGUCUUUUUUGAGUUUCCCUUCUAUUAUUUUUUUAUGGUUUUACAUAAGGAUUGAACUAUGAUUUGUUUAUCUGCAGUGGUGUUUUGGAUUAGUUGGGUAACGUUGCAUAUUCUUCUUAUCAAGUUUCUAUAAUUAGUAAAUUCAUUUAGGUCUAUAUGAGGAUGACGAGUUUUGAACCUUCUGCGUAAAUUUCUUUGCACCUUUUCAGCUGGAGUUCUCUGGCAUUUAUUUCUCCUAUGGAUGAUAUGAAAAGCAGAAGGAUCAAGGGGCUCGACAUAACCUAAGUCUUUUUUGAGUUUUAUUUCUUCUUUUUUUUCCUGGUAUUUAUGACAGUACAUAAGGAUUGAACUAUGAUUUGUUUAUCUGCAGUGGUGUUUGGAUUAGUUGGAUAACGACGCAUAUUCAUCUUACAAGUUUCUAUAACUAGUAAAUUCAUUUACGUGAAUUUUGAGUAUAAUUCUCUAUUUGAGUGUGACGAGUUUUAAACCUUUUGCCUAUCUGGUAUUGAUCACGAAAAUAAGGAUUGGACUAUGAUUUGUUUAUCUGCAGUGGUGUAACACGUCUCUAUACUUCUUCCUUUUAUUAAGAGCUUAGUUCGUUUUCUUGAAUUUUUGGGUUGUACAGGGAAGACACACAAUGGAUGUGAAAUGAAGAUUAUGUUUUGUUACCCUUAACUUUUUUAUGGGUUUAUUCGUGACUGAUCAUUUGAUUUCGUAGUCUAACUUUGUGUUUAUGUUCACUCCCCUUCAGCAAUUGGAGUUUCUGAGAUUUGAAACCCUAAAAAGUUUAAAACGGUUGCAGCUCAGGAUAUCCCAAUUCUCUCUAUCUAUUGUUUAAUUUCUCUCUACUUGAUCUCCAAGGAUUGAAUUGUGCUCGACUAUUUUACCUUAAAGUCCUGCAGCAUCUCAUGGAGUGUGUUAUGAGGCCCUAAGGGUUGAAUUGGUGUUUGAAUUAUUUUCGCCUAAUGUCCUGCAGAGUAUGUUAUGAGAUUUAAGGGUUGAAUUGUGAUUUGUUUCCUGUUUGGAUGAUUUGCAUAGUGUCCUGCAUCCUAUGGAAUAUGUAUGGUUUUCGCACGGUCAUCGCGAGUAUGUUAUGGCCACCAUCUUCCUUGGUUAUUUAAGUCUUCAAUUUAUCUUAUCGUUCUAUAGUUCAUCCUUGAUUACCAGUUAUACUUUGUUGAAUUAUUGUUCUUCACAGGGAUGUGUGGGGGUAGGACAGGGAUGUGUGGGUAGGACUUUCCUCGUGGUUGGUUGAAAAUGAUGGAUGAGUCAUGCUUGACGGUAUGAAAAACACAAUGACAAAGGGCUCGACAUAACCUAAGUCUUUUUUGAGUUUUCCUUAUAUUUUUUCUUUUUCCUGUUAUUGAUCACAGUACAUAAGGAUAUGAUUUGUUUAUCUGCAGUGGUGUUUGGAUUGGUUACGAUGCAUAUUCAUCUUACAAGUGGUGGCUGGUUUUUUGGCAUUUCUUUUACCUAUGGAUUAUAUGAAAAGCACAACGACCAAGCAUUUCUAUUAUUUUUAUGGUAUUACAUAAGGAUUGAACUAUGAUUUGUUUAUAUGCAGUGGUGUUUGGAUUAGUUGUGUAACGUCUAUGUUCAUCGAAUCAAGUUUCUGUAAUUAGUAAAUUCAUUUAGGUGAAUUCUGAGUAUAAUUCUCUAUUUGAGGAUGACGAGUUUUAUCCUUUUGCAUAAAUUUCUUCUCACCUUUUCAGUUGGUGGCUGGUUCUCUGGCAUUUCUUUUGGCUAUGGAUGAUAUGAAAAGCACAACGACCAAGGGGCUCGACAUAACCUUCAAGUCUUUUUUGAGUUUUCCUUCUAUUUUUCUUUAUCCCGGUAUUGAUCACAAUACAUAAGGAUAUGAUUUGUUUAUCUGCAGUGGUGCUUGGAUUAGUUGGGUAACGUAGCAUAUUCAUCUUAUCAAAUUUCUAUAAUUAGUAAAUUCAUUUAGGUGAAUUCUGAGUAUAAUUCUCUAUUUGAGGAUGAAGAGUUUUGAACCUUUCGCAUAAAUUUUUUUUCACCUUUUCAGCUGGUGGCUGGUUCUCUGGCUUUUUUUUUGCCUAUGGUGAUAUGAAGAGAACAACGACCAAGGGCUCAACAUAACCUAAGUCUUUUUUUAGUUUUGCUUCUAUUAUUUAUAUUUUCUGGUAUUGAUCACCUACCACAAGGAUUGUAAUAUGUUUUUUUUUAUCUGCAGUGGUGUUUGUGUAACGUCGCAUAUUCAUCUUAUCAACUUUCUAUACUUCCUCCCUCUUAUUAGCGAUUAUCUUUUCCUUCAAUUUUUGGACUGUACAGGGUUUAUCGUUUCCUUCAGUUAAAUUCGGUUUUCGUGUUCAUUCCUUUUCAGCAAGUCCCGAGUCUGAGAUUUCUUUUGGCGGUUGAGGAACUAGAGUUUAGAAUGGUUGCACAUCAGGAUAUCCUAAUUUCUCAAUGAGUGUAUCCUCUAUUAUUUUAUUUAAUCUCAGCAGCGGUGUUUAGAUGAUUUUUGCUUAUUGUACUUCAUCUCAUGAGUGUGUUAGGAGGGCGACAGUGUCUCCCUUAAUUUUUUGAUUUAUCUAAUCAUCCGUUAUAGAUUUGUUGUAUUAUUGUUCUUUAGGGAUGUGUGGGCUUAUAGUUUUGUUGAAUUAUUGUUCUUUACAGGGAUGUGUUGGGUAGGACGUGGAAACCAUGUCGGGAUAUUUCUUGAACUGUGAAUCAUUCGUUUUUUUUCCUACUCUUACACUAGUUUUUUCUAUUGCAUUAGUUUGUAUUUGGCCAACCUUGUUGGUUCGAUUUUUAUUUUUUCUUCUUAGGCAUAACCAAAUAAAUAUUGGAGGGCUAAUGAAUGUCCUAUUUUAACAUAUGAUCACGACAAAUGGUCUCUUGGCAGCUUGAUUUUAUGAUCCGUGUCUCUAUGCACUGUGACCUUAGGCACUUUGGUGGUCUCAGGCCUAGAUAAAUUGAAAAGAAGUAUCUUGGAGUCAUUCCCUUCAUUUUAGUAGUGGUAAUUAGCAAGAGCUCAGGACUAUUUGGCUCCAAUUUUUUUAUUACAAAACUUUAUUUUGUCUUAGUUUUCUUUUUUUGACAAAUGAAUUUUCGGAAACAGUGAAUGGAGGUCCAGUGAAACUUUAGGUUUUAUUAUCUUUGCAUUCAUUAUUAUUUUCUUUGCGGUUAUUCUUUUGGCUAACCUUGUGGCUAAACAUGUAGAGUGGCAGUUCUUGUAAACAGGCACUAUAUGAGUAUGAUAGGCUUUGACAUUUGUUUUGUUGUGCCUUCGAUUAUCUUCUUCUACUUGGGUUGCAGUGACUUACUAUGAGCGGUUCCCAUGGUUUUCAAUUUUUGAAUUUACCUUAACUUUUCUUUACUCUGUCAUGUCAUGCUUUUAAGAAAAUUAGUUUUCUCAAAUCCCCAUGCUUCUGGUUGAGCUUUUACAGGAAAACUAUAGAUAUAUGGGGCAGGUUUCGGAAAUAAUUAUUGGACUUUACAGGGAAUUCAUGGGCUACCCAAAAUGAGGUGUGAAUUAUGUGAUAUGUGAAGCUCAAUGUUUUUAUUAACGGUACAUUGUAGUAUCUGAAUUAAUUUUUAACUGGCUCAACUUGUUGGUUUGAUUAUAAUCUUGGUUGUAUUUUGAUGGUGUAUGGUUCAUAAGUGGCAUUGUGAGCAUGGGACAAGUGCGGUUGGACUUUAUUUUUUGAUUUGAUAGUUUGCUUCUUGGUUUGAAAAGUUUAGGAUUUAGGGUUUAUUUGACGCCUUUUGGAUAAUCCUCUGAUAUAGGUCUUUGGCUCUUUAUUAGUUUUCCAAACCUUUGAUUCAUUAUUCUUGAUGAGUAAGCAUAUGGGUUGAGUUGUUGAGGUAUGAAUUUGUUUGAAAUUGUUUCAUGUCCCUGGAGUCUUAUUUUGACUGACAGCAAUGUCUCUUACUAUGAAUGACAGUAAUCUCUGAGCCUAUUAUGUGUAUGGAAAUUUUUGAAGUCAGUAUAAUAAUAUCUCACAACUUUGGUCACAUUUCUAUUUUACAUAUAAAUUAUUAACAAAGGGAGGAGAUAAAACAAGUUGUUAUGUAGUAGUAGAAUCUAUUUCUCUUUGAAAUUAUUGUUAAGGACCUACGAGUCAAGUUUUUAUAUUUAAUUUUUUUCCUAUACCAGUCAAUGAUAUAACUCAGCCGUGAAUCUUGAUCAUUCCUUUCUAUAUAUAUACCCAAUAUCUGUUUUGUUGGUAUUGCUUCAGUUAUUGUUGUGAUUCUUUACAAGGUUUUGUGGAAUUACAUGAUGUUUGUGUCGUGGGAUAGAAGAAUUAUUAAGAAUUAUUAGUAAACCGCUUCAUGAAAUUUGAUAUUAGUUUUUUUUUUUCCUUUUUAAAAUGCAGAG
rnacentral:lncRNA from 1 species